UCUCCACCUGAGCAUUCAGACAGUUUGGAUACAGACACCAACAUACAGCCUUCAGACAGUUUGGAUAUAGACACCAGCAUACAGCCUUCAGACAGUUUGGAUAUAGACACCAGCAUUCAGCCUUCAGACAGUUUGGAUAUAGACACCAGCAUUCAGCCUUCAGACAGUUUGGAUAUAGACACCAGCAUACAGCCUUCAGACAGUUUGGAUAUAGACACCAGCAUACAGCCUUCAGACAGUUUGGAUAUAGACACCAGCAUACAGCCUUCAGACAGUUUGGAUAUAGACACCAGCAUACAGCCUUCAAACAGGUUGGAAAUAGACACCAGCAUACAGCCUUCAAACAGGUUGGAAAUAGACACCAGCUUACAUCCUUCUUCAAGACAGUGAUCUCUCUUUUUCUCAUCCUCCUGGUUUUUGACCCUUGCCUGUCCUGACCCUGUACCCACCCACCUGACCACUCUGCCUGACCCUGACUGCCGUCCUUGGCCUCUACUCUGGAUUAUCGACCCCUGCCUGACCUGACCCUGACCCUGCCUGCCGUCCUGUACCUUGGCCUCUACUCUGGAUUACCGACCUCUGCCUGACCUGACCCUGACCCUGCCUGCCGUCCUGUACCUUGGCCUCUACUCUGGAUUAUCGACCUCUGCCUGCCUUGACCUGUCGUUUGCCUGCCCCUGUUACAAUAAACAUUGUUACUUCACACAGUCUGCACUUGGGUCUUACCUUGAUUCCUGAUAUGCUCAGGUGGCAACACGCAUCUCUGCGUGCCUGGCAGAUAUCUCCCCUUGGAUGUUGGCCCACCACCUCAAGCUCAACCUCCAAAAAGACAGAGCC
rnacentral:lncRNA from 1 species